AAUUUAUAAAACUAAAAGUAAAAAUAUUACUUGUUACAAGAAUAAAGACCAUGUUUUCAGUGUCAUGAGUUUCAGUCAUCAUAUUUGUUGGACUUUGUUGUUUAAAAGUUUUUUGUGGUAAUAAGAUAUAGCAAACAGGAAGUCAUCGUCAGAAUACUUCCUUUUUUGGUGGGAAUCUUGAAGGUACAGUAGCUAUGAAAUAGAAGAGUUUGCUCAAGUUUAAGACUAUAAUUGGGACACACAAACUGCUUUGUAUUUUCAGAUAUAAUAUAGAUGAAUAGAAUCAAUAUAGUUAUAAGAAAAAUCUGAUUAGCCUGCUAGCAUUCUAAAUUUAGAAUGUAAAUAAGCCCAAAAUAAAAAUGACCAUGAAAGGGAAGAAAACAUUAUUUUGCUGUUAAUAUUUAUUUAACUGUGUUUUCAUACACCUAAUUUAUCUAAUUUGCAAACACUUUUACUCUCAAUGUUUUGCAUGCAUGUUCUCAACAAUGAUCAAUGAUGAUGUCAAGAAAACAUUCUUGUUAAAGAGAAGGAUGAAGCUAGAAAC
rnacentral:lncRNA from 1 species